CUCCCUGCACCCUCUUAACCCAACUUCUAUUCUCCCAAUCUCAAAAUUAGGGAAACCAUUCCUCUUUAGAUCUUCUGUCUUCCUUUCAAUCCCAAAUAAUCUAAACUAAUAAGAAGUUUAAUUUGAGAUUGAUGGUGAAUUUUAAUCAGUCAGUCAAGGUCAGUCGAUUUUUUCUUUUCUCUCUCUCGAUCUCUAUACGAAGUUCAGAAAAGUUUAAAGCUAGAGGACUACGCAGUAAUCAAUGUAUGUUGCUAUUUGAUGGUGAAACUGAUGUUGGAUUAAAUUCAAUCGGCUUGUAUUUUUUUUCUGUGAAUUCCAAAGAUAUAUCAUAUGGGUAACUGAUCCAGUUGACAUUAGAUUCUUGCACUUAUAAGGCUCAGCAAUUGAAUAUUAUACCUACUGAGGCCUUUCCAUAUGAGACUUUAGAGCUCUGGUUUUGUUGUCGUUCAGUUAUAUAUGGUUAAAUUGCAGGUAACAAUAACAUUUUGUCUCAUCAGCUGAGAUAUUCAAUAUCUUUGUAGCUUCAUAUUGUGUUGAUUUUUAAGUUCGGUAAUUACUUUUCUCCUGCAUGUCCUUUAUCCACUUAUUAUACACAAUUCGUGUAUCUGAAUUACCUGAAAACUUUGAUGCAUAAUACCAAAUCAAGGGCAGUGGUGCCAAGUUAGAUGGACUGUAAAUCGGUUUCGUACAUGUUGAGUUUGUUUUAGUGGGAUGAACUGCGAAGGUUCGUCAACUAUUUCUGCAUCUUUUUAAUGAAACAGGAAGUUAGUUUGGCACGAAAGUUUGCUCUAUUUUCUCUAGCGCCACGGUAGUUGGUUUACAAGACCACUGUAAGGCGAUGCUUACUGCUAUCAUAGCCUAAUGCCUUUAGGUACUGUUCAGCUUAUAAGUGGACCGUUCAUAUAAGGAUGGGGAGCCUUUUUUUAUCUUGAUGCGGGCCACAACCAAACCUUAAGACUUUAAGGAACUACGACUUUCUUGAUGAAGAUCACCUUAAAACUAAGUUCAUUGUGACAGGUUUUUCUGUAUGCCUACUGUUUCCUCCAUUUAGACCUUAUUAGUCUUGUUUCUUACAUGAUCUCUUCGAUCCAGGCACCCCCAGCACCAAAGAUCCUCAAUUCCAUGAUAAGAGAUUGGUUUCUCAACUAAAUGGAAAACGACCUUUAGAAAUCUUUUGAUUGAGGGAUUUAAUCAUCACCUUUUUCUGUUUCUUUGUCAUGUAAAUCGUUAGGCAUUAAACUAUUUUUUCGGGAUAAUUUCCUGCGAACCACAGGUAUCUGCUGCAUAGGAAAAAAAAGAAGCAGUUUACGAGAGAUCCAUCUGAGAUGCAAUCUGCAAUUUGAUCUCAGGGUCCGAUGCACCAAGGAAAAUCCCAGCGGCAGAGUUUGGAGGAGCUCUUGCGGUAUGAGUAUGCAUGGCAUCUUUAGUAAACAAGACCUGGAUUAAGCACGCAAUAAAAAUGCAGUUGUCCUUUCGAAACUUUGUUGAGGCUUCAUGCCCCUCUAAUCAUUUGAAAAUCGCCCAAACAUCAGUUUUCAUUUCACUCUAUAAGACUAUCGGGGAUGUUUCAAAUCAAGUGUGAUAGCUAUCAACUUGAAACCGUAUAGGAUUGUGAAUUCCAUUACAAAAACCUCACUACUGAAGUUAGAAUCGGAUAGGUUCUCAAAUCUGGUUGCAAACCACUAUAAACUGAAUUCGUGAACGAUCACAGUUUGCAAAACGAACUUUCUUUAUGUUGUUCGCAGAUUGCCACGGUUUACAAACCAAAGUUCCCGUCGCUCACGAGCUGCCACAGUUUCCAAACCCAUCUUGCAAACCACUAUAUUCCUAAUCUUCUUCCAUAUACUCAAAUGAAAUCUAUAUUUAAAAUUUUUUUCUUUUGGUUUAAUUUCACUUUCUCUUUUAACCUUUCAGCCUCAAAUCCCUAGCAAAAGAAAAGAAAGUUUCUUUAAAAAAUUUCCCAAUAUGAAAAACAUGUAUAAUCUUAAGUCCAAUAAUAUAGUAUUAUUUAAUGGCUAAUGUUGGAUGUGUGAUUUCGUUUUCCACACCCGAUUUUAUCAUGGAUUGUUUUGUUAAGUUUUCUUCCUGCAAUUAAUAUAAGUUUCACAUAAAACAAGAAAGUUUGUCGCUUUUGACAUUGCAAUAUAUGGUUGUUUUGUGUUGGUACAAUCCUGAUGCUCAUUUUGCUCAUUUUGCUUCCCCAUCUGUGUUCACUUUAAGCCAGUCUUCAAAGGGUGGUAUCCAUCCAGUUGAGAUAGUGCAAGAUUGUCGGUUGUUGUUGAUGAUGGUUGGUGAUGGUGUGAAAGGUGUUGAGGGUGACAGAUGGUUUCUCGCCCAAACAUAUUUCGUGUGCAUUAGGAGAAUGAUGUGGAAUGUUUGGGCUGGUGUUUGGGUGGUGUUUUUGUAGACUGCUGAGUUUCUGACUAGCCAUAGGUGUCAGGUAGUGAAAUACAAGAUUGUUUUUUGUUCUUUGGGGAGUUGUAGGUCAAGAAGUUGGUGCAGGUUGUGGACUGGUUGGAUUGGGAUUUUGUUAUUUUGGUUUGUUGAUAGGUGACCAAAGAUGAGGCUCAAAACAUCUUGAGCCACAGACAUUGGAAUAACAUGUGGGUUGUUGUUUCAGGUGCACUCUUACAAACUGGGCAUUGGUCGGUGGUGGUGAUAUGCAUUCGGUGGAGGGUUGCGAAGGUGUGUAAUCCUUCCAGGUUGGCUUUCCACAGGAAAAGCCUGAUUUUUGGGGGGUAUUCAGCCUGCCAGAUGGUUUUGAAAUUGUUGGGUGGUGGUUGUUGGGUCUGGUGAUGGGUGUUAUUGGUUUGGUUGGUGAUUGCCUUGUAGCCGGUUUUUGUGGUGUAGUUGCUUAUUGUGGAGUAUGGCCAAAUCAACUUGUUUGGUGAAGGUGUGGGUGGAAGGUAUGUACUUUGGAUGUGAUGUGUAGUGGGUGUUGGAAAGUUGGUGUUGAUUUUGUCAUGUAUCCGGGUAUUGGAGUCAGGAUCGAUGAUGUCUGAGACGAAGUGGAUCGACAUGUCAGGGCAAGGAUCUGGUAGUGGGUGUUGUUGUAUCCAGUUUGCAGUUAUGGGAGUAUCUCUUACAUUACCAAUUUGAUGAAACAUGUGUGACUGAAGGAUUGGAGCUAACUUACACAUGCUUUUCCACAUGUUGUUGGCUAUGUUUGGUGCAGAUAUCAGAGAAAUCAAAAUGUGUUGGUGUCUGACAUAUUUUUUAUUGAGAACUGAUGAGCAAAGCGAAUUCGGCGAUUCAUGUAGCUUCCAAAGUCUUUUUAGUAGGAGUGCCUUGUUAUAAUAUGCACUAUCCCGGAUUCCGAGACCUUCUUCUUCUUUUGUUUUGGUGAUUUUAGUCAAGCCAAUUGGGUGUGAUUUCCUGGUUGCUUAUCGUGAUCCCAAAAAGAUAUUCUGGUAAUCUGGUCCAUCUGCCGAUGAUGUGAGUUGGCAGUAACUGUGUUUGCGUGACGUGGUUGGAUGUUGGAGUGAUGAUUAAGACGAAUCUGUCGGCUUGGUUCACGCAUUUGGUUAUCCAGCCUGCAGAUUUCCUGUUUAACCUGUUCAUUAGCUCAACAAACAUAUGAGACGAGUUCCUGCCAUUUUUGAAUUGUAUACCAAGGUAUUUUGGUGGUGUUUUGGUGGUAGGGAUUGAGAACAACUGUGAGAGCCAAGCAGUGGUUGAUGGGUUGAGGUUGUGAUGAUUGAUUUGGAAAGGUUGAACUUCGAACAAUAUUAUAUAUAAAAAGAGUAAACACAUAUUUUAAGAAUAUCAAGGUGUAUAGACUAAUUUGUAGUAUGUAGCAUGGGUAAACAUCUGAAAAAAAAAAA